UACGGGGGGGGCAAGCGUUGUUCGGAAUUACUGGGCGUAAAGGGCUCGUAGGCGGCCAACUAAGUCGGAUGUGAAAUCCCCAGGCUCAACUUGGGAACUGCAUCCGAUACUGGAUGGCUUGAAUCCGGGAGAGGGAUGCAGAAUUCCAGGUGUAGCGGUGAAAUGCGUAGAGAUCGGCCAGAACACCAGUGGCGCAGGCGGCCUCCUGGGCCAGGACUGACGCUGAGACGCGACAGCGUGGGGAGCGAACGGA
rnacentral:rRNA from 1 species